rnacentral:tRNA from 1 species
GACUUCGUGGUGUAGAGCACGUUAGAUUGCAAGUCUAAAGGUGCGGAGUAAUUCUCCGCCGAAGUUU